rnacentral:rRNA from 1 species
AUUGAACGCUGGCGGCAGGCCUAACACAUGCAAGUCGAGCGGCAGCGGAAAGUAGCUUGCUACUUUGCCGGCGAGCGGCGGACGGGUGAGUAAUGUCUGGGAAACUGCCUGAUGGAGGGGGAUAACUACUGGAAACGGUAGCUAAUACCGCAUAACGACGCAAGUCCAAAGAGGGGGACCUUCGGGCCUCUUGCCAUCAGAUGUGCCCAGAUGGGAUUAGCUAGUAGGUGGGGUAACGGCUCACCUAGGCGACGAUCCCUAGCUGGUCUGAGAGGAUGACCAGCCACACUGGAACUGAGACACGGUCCAGACUCCUACGGGAGGCAGCAGUGGGGAAUAUUGCACAAUGGGCGCAAGCCUGAUGCAGCCAUGCCGCGUGUAUGAAGAAGGCCUUCGGGUUGUAAAGUACUUUCAGCGGGGAGGAAGGUGCUGAGGUUAAUAACCUCAGCAAUUGACGUUACCCGCAGAAGAAGCACCGGCUAACUCCGUGCCAGCAGCCGCGGUAAAAC